rnacentral:rRNA from 1 species
AUGGCCCCGCACGCCGGUUCUCCUUCCACUGACCGCUGCGCCCAGGAGGAGAGCUGCCUUCAUUCCCAGGCCCUCGCCAACCUCGAGGAGCUUGAUAUCGCUUAUGGCAUAUGCAAACCCGAAACCAACGCCAACCCCCCGCUGCUGGAAUCAGUGCUCCGCUCUGCGUCCACCAUCCUGGUUGCCAAGAUCGACCAUUGCGAUUUCCCCUUCGAGAUCGCGCCGCCCAUGAAUUUCCACAAUCUCAACAAGCUCACCCUGUUUAACAUUUCCAUCUCAGAGGAGGUCUUCCACAGACUGCUCUCCGGCUGCCAUGCCUUGGAAAGCUUAUACAUGGCCGAUUUUCGUGCUCCGGGUCGCCUCCGUGUGAUCUCGCCGACUAUUAGGAGCAUCAUCUUCCGUCAUAGCAAAAAAGUGGAACUGGUCAUCGAGGAUGCUCCUCGUCUUCUAAGGUUACUGUUAACUGAUUGUAACCGUGAUGAUCGCGUCACUAUCAGGGUAAUUAGGGCGCCUAAUCUGGAGAUAUUGGGCCCUUUCUUAGUGGUCGUCUCAAAGCUCCUACUCUUCAAGGGAAUAAGCUCAGUCAGCUCCACAAACUCGAUGCGCACUGUGAAGGUUUUUGCUCUCAGGUCUUCUGGAGAUAAGCUGGAUGCAGUUCUUAACAUCCUCAAGUGGUUCCCCUGUUUGGAAAAGCUCUAUGUCACUUUUCGUCGAUGCAGGGAUAAGAGAAUUGAGCCUCCGUAUGACCCACUACAUCCAAUUGAAUGCCUUGAGACACAUCUAAAAAAAGUAGUGUUCAAGUCAUUCUUUUGCUAUGGGAAACAGCUUGAAUUUGCGAGGUUCUUUGUAUUGAAUGCAAAGGUGCUAGGCAUAAUUGAAUUUGAAGUAUAUAAUGAGUACAGCAGUGAAACGGCGGCUUAUCAGCGGAUGCUGCUACAAGUGGAAAACAGAGCUUCCCGAGAUGCUCGGUUUGAAUUCAGGAUUAGCCCUACUAAAUAUGGACUGAUUGACAUGUGUUGA